GAGUCAUCCCUUACUCUGCUGUUAAUUGUUAAUGAUUUCUUCAAAUGCGAGCCGGUAUUGCUCCUCGGAAGGUGCCAUAUUCCAAGAUGUAAAUCCAAGGUUAAUCCACAAAUUAGGUUUCAGCUGGCAGCGUGCGUGGCUAUAUUGUGAGAAUGGGAGAGCGUGCCAGGAGCAUGAGAGUGUGCCGUCUGCCAUGCAAACCUGAACCACAGACUAGAUCUUCAAAAUGACUUUGAUCAUGUAGUUCUGAAUCAUUUACCAGUGAGAUGGAGAGCAUGUGAAACACACGUGGGUAGUGAGCAAUGAGCAAUGAGAAGGCUAAUGCUAAAAACAUGGAAAGCAUGGUUAUCCUGAAAAGGGCUUAUUAAAAUUUAAUCAGAGGUGGGGGAGGAGAGGGCUUCUAAUCAGAUACAUAGAUCUGACUAGGCCCCAAAAGAGAGUUUAAAAAGCUGCCAUUAUUUCGUAUGCACUUUUAUAAUUUGCGCAGUCACGUUGUAUAUGAAGAAAUGUACGUAGAAUCCUGCGCGCGCACGGUUUUAUACAUGUGAAUCUUUUUGGUGCACACGCUACGUUUCAGUGUGAAUUAUGUGCAAGGCUUUGGUACAUGAGGCCCCAGGUGUCCUCCUCUGUCAGCUGAUCCACACCUGCUGCAGGUGAUCAGGUUCAGCGUCUGAGAGUCGAGAAAGCUGGAGCAAAAUGGAAGGACAGCGACCUUCAACCAGGAGGCGACCGAACUGAGAUUUCUCCGUGCGAACUUCCGAAUUUCCACGAUUUCCACCGAGGACCGACGAGGAGGGAACAGAACAAGAAACGUCCAGUUUCAGAAUCAACGAAUGGUCCAUCGAAGACCCAAGAGCACCAGUACCUGGAUUUACUGUAGUGUGGUUCAUUCACAGCACGGCUACUACAGGCUGCCUGGGAGACAUAAUCAAUAAUGUUGAUUACACCAUAAAACACAGAGGAACGAGCAAAGAAAGAAAACAGCCUCACACCAUAAACAGCUCAAAGAAACAGACAUUUUCCUGAAUAAAUUAGCUUCUUUGCUUGAAUCAUU